AUAUAUGAAAUGGGAAUAUGAUAACUCAUCCCAGCUAAUCAGCCCUUUCUUCCUGGCUCUGGAGGUUUUAAAAACAAUGACUCAUGAAGUAUUUGCCAGGCAACCAUCCAUCCAGUCUUCCCACAAGUCUGAGUUUGUCAGCCUGCCCCGAAUUUAUCUAAGAAAUUAAAUCUCGAUUUUAGUUUUAUUAGCACAUGUACUGCUUUGCUGUUUUUCAGAAAACACUGUAAAAGGAAACAUGUAGGUUAUAAUGAAGAUAAAGAAGAAAUGAAAAGCCUCGGGUACAAUGGCAAUGAUUGUUAAUAAAAAAACCAUUAACAAAGGUUUCCAGAAAUUAAUCAGCACAGAUGGACAUGGCAACCACUUGUGAAGGAAGUCUUUGUAGAAAUGCUCUGCAGCAAGGGUUCUGGGAAAUGCUGAGUGUCACACACUGAAGCACUUAGCCAAUCCAGUCUGGACAACAAGCUGAAAACCAGGUCCUUCCCAGAAGAGCUCGGAAACACAGGGAGCAAACCAAGUCAGAGGCUGCAAGUCCCUGGUCCUGUUCUGAGGUGGUGAAGGAUCUAAACACAGGAGAAUUCACCCAUCAUGUUGUAAAGACACUCAAGCAGUCCUAUGGAGAAGUAUACAUUAUGAGAAAACAAGGUUUCCUGUCAACAAGCAGCACGUAUUCCCCAGCCAUGGGAGUCCGCCAUCUUGGAAGCAGACUCUCUAGCCCCAGUCAAGCUUUCUGCAACCUGGGCAACAUCUUGACUGCAACUUCAUGAAAGACUCCCCAGCAGAACCUUAGCUUCUCCCUAAUUCCUCCCAGAAACUGUGAGAGAUAAAUGCCUAUUGUUGCUUCAAGCCACUAAAUUUUGUGGUAAUUUGUUAUGCAAAAAAUAGAUAACUAAAAUGCUUUUUGGAGGUAAAACCAAAGCAAUCUGUGCAUACGUAAACACCUGAAAAUACUUCUUUCUUUACUCUACCAGUAGUGAAUAAACACCCAUCAAUUCUGGAAAUGAAAUUUUGAAAAAUUCUCUGGAACUUUCUUUUCUGCACUCAGGUUAAUUCAGCAGUGCUUCUGUUGUUAUUCUCAUAUGAGGAUGGAGAAAAUAAUAUACAUAGAAUAAUAAUUUUAUGUUUAACAAGUCUAGUUACAUCAUAAAACAAGGCUCCUAUGGCAACUUAUGAUAAAUAAGAUCCUCCAAAAAAAAAUCAAAGCAAUAAGGUACAAAGGAGAAAAAUAGUUCCAUUCUCUCAAAACAGUGCAUUUAUACCCUGAAUUGUCUUUUUUUAAUUAUCCAUAAUAUAGAGCUAAAGAACAUUCUUGUUAUUUGUUCGCGUUUUGAAGACAUUUAUACAUCCCCUAGUCAUAAUUAUAUUUUUGAAUAAAUUUGAAAUCAAAAGUAAUAUUAAAAAUCUUAUCAAUAGGUAUUGCUAUCUAGCUUCCACCACUGCAUGUUUUCUUAUAUUAAAAAAAAAGUGAACUCAUCCUUUUAAUGACCCAAGAAUGUAAUCUAACAAUGCUAUUAACCUAAAGCUAAAAUUGAACAUCAAAACAUCCCUCCAUAUGAAAACUGAACCCUACUGUUAUAUCAUUUAAUUGAAUCUUUAGAUUCACUUUCAGUGCAUCAGUUCCCAAUUGCACUGGGAAGUUACUG